AAGACCUUGCGCUUUUGGAGCGGCCGAUGCCUGAUUAGCUUGUUGGUAAGGUAAAGGCUUACCAAGGCUUCGAUCAGUAGCUGGUCUGAGAGGACGGCCAGCCACACUGGGACUGAGACACGGCCCAGACUCCUACGGGAGGCAGCAGUGGGGAAUUUUGGACAAUGGGGGAAACCCUGAUCCAGCCAUGCCGCGUGAGUGAAGAAGGCCUUCGGGUUGUAAAGCUCUUUCAGCCGGAACGAAACGGUUACGGAUAAUACCCGUGACUACUGACGGUACCGGAAGAAGAAGCACCGGCUAACUACGUGCCAGCAGCCGCGGUAAUACGUAGGGUGCGAGCGUUAAUCGGAAUUACUGGGCGUAAAGCGUGCGCAGGUGGUUUUGUAAGUCAGAUGUGAAGGCCCCGGGCUCAACCUGGGAACU
rnacentral:rRNA from 1 species